rnacentral:SRP_RNA from 1 species
CUGCACUAGUCGGGGAGCCAGCGGUGCCCUGUAACCUGCAAUCCGCUACAGCAGGGACGAAUUCCCAAAAGAGGAUAUGCGAUGUGUCGGCUGACCGUAGUAAGCGGCGUUGACGGCCCGGUCCCGCGCAACGGCGGCCCGUGAACCAUGUCAGGCGGGGAACCGAGCAGCAUUAAGCGGGCGCAGCCGUGUGCCGCGGGGUAACCGGGUCCGAGCCGGCUGCUGCGGUAACGGAUGUAUCGCAGCAUUCAAUUGAGGGUGUGCAG